AACACGUGGGGAACCUGCCCCAUAGUCUGGGAUACCACUUGGAAACAGGUGCUAAUACCGGAUAAGAAAGUGGAUCGCAUGAUCAGCUUUUAAAAGGCGGCGUAAGCUGUCGCUAUGGGAUGGCCCCGCGGUGCAUUAGCUAGUUGGUAAGGUAAAGGCUUACCAAGGCGAUGAUGCAUAGCCGAGUUGAGAGACUGAUCGGCCACAUUGGGACUGAGACACGGUCCAAACUCCUACGGGAGGCAGCAGAC
rnacentral:rRNA from 1 species